AAGUCGUAACAAGGUUUUUGCUAAGCAACAGUCCUUCUGUAGCAGAGCUUCUCGGAGACCUUGCACCCGAGAGGGGGGGAGGCGAUUAUAAACAAGCUUCCAGCGCAAGUCAGCACUGCUGGCAACACAAUCGAAUUGCGGGGACGCUUUAAAGCCUACCAGCACCAACUACCCCUCACCGGGUAGGGCGAGCACGCUCGAGGUCACAAUCUGGUAGGAUGCCACAAUAAGCAAUCCGCAGCGGCUCAGCCGUCCACAGACUAAGUGGUUGUGGGUAGGAGAACCCUAUCUAAGAUAUAGUCGGGCCUGAAGAGAGAUCUCCAGGGCUUCUGCGUCCGUAGGUGAACCUGCGGAAGGAUCAUUAAUAAGGAUGCUGGAAGGGGGGUGAGCCCACGCCUCCCCUAGACGGUAUACCCCACCCGUGUCUAUCUACUCUUGUUGCUUUGGCAGGCCGUGGCCUCCACUGUGGGCUCUGCCUGCAUGUGCCUGCCAGAGGAUUAAACUCUGAAUUUUAGUGAUGUCUGAGAACUAUCUAAUAGUUAAAAC
rnacentral:misc_RNA from 1 species